rnacentral:lncRNA from 1 species
GAGAAACUUACUGAUGAAGACCUGGAUCCAGAGGAACCUGGUGCUGUUUUUGAGGAACUUAUUAUUGAAGAACCGAUUCUUGAGAAACCUGGUGUAAUUGUUAUUACAGAACUUUCUGAUGAAAAACCAGGUCCUGGGGAACCUGGUACUGUUGUCAUAGAAGAACUUACACAUGAAGAACCUGUUGUUGUUAUUGCAGAACUUACUGAUGAAGAACCGGUUUCAGAGGAACCUGGUACUGUUAUUGAAGAACGUACAAAUGAAGAACCAGGUGUUGUUGAGGAACUUACUAAUGAAGAACUGACUCCUGGUGAACCUGGUGAUAUUGGUAUUAAUGAACUUACACAUGAUGAACCAGUUAUUAUUGCUAAUGAAGAACCAUCUCCAGAGGAACCUGGUGCUGUUGUUAUUGAAGAAUGGACAAAUGAAGAACCAGUUGUUGUUGAGGAACUUACUGAUGAAGAACCGGCUCCAGAGGAACCUGGUGCUAUUAUUAUUCCAGAAUUUACUGAUGAAGAACCGGCUCCAGAAGAACCUGGUGCUGUUGAUGAACUGACAAAUGAGGACUCUGCUCUUGAAGAACCUACUGUUCUUGUUCUUGAUACUCAAAAACCUUUAAACACACCAAAUGAAAUGGCUUUUGAUGUUUUUGAGGAAGCAACAAAUGAAGCACCAAAAGAAUUGCCUCCUUUCGAUCCUGUGGACGAAUCAGAGAACGACGUACCAAAAGGCCAUAAUGCUCAGGAUGGAUUAUUUGAGGAGAUUGACAGAUCUAUAGGAACCAUAGCUCUAGAGGAAUCUGUUUACAAUUUUGCUCCACACAUCACUUAUAAAGAGAUGGUUCCUGUAGCUGUGAAGCAAAAAGCUGCUGCUGCUGCUGCUGCUGCACCAAAGAAUGACAACCCUGUUGUCCCAGUGAGAAGGGGAGCAGUUCUCGGAGUAGUAUUCUUCACCCUCGUGUGUUUCAUCGUCACUGGGUUUGUUGGCACAACAGUAUCCAAAAAACUGAGGUGAAGACAUGACGUGAGUUGCCAUAAGCUCAUAAAACCACUUGAUCCAAACUUUUCUUGAUCAGGUCUAGCUUUAACUUUUCUAUUUUCUUUCUUUUUAAAGAGUAACUAAACCCCUGCUUUCUCCUGACCUGCCGCUAGGAGGGAAAUUCAAAACAUGCCUUGAUUAUGGGCGGGGCUCCUGGAGGAAUUGGGACACGCCCAGUCUAAACUAUAAAAUCGC